rnacentral:rRNA from 1 species
UUAAGCGACUAAGCGUACACGGUGGAUGCCCUGGCAGUCAGAGGCGAUGAAGGACGUGCUAAUCUGCGAAAAGCGUCGGUAAGGUGAUAUGAACCGUUAUAACCGGCGAUGUCCGAAUGGGGAAACCCAGUGCAAUUCGUUGCACUAUCGUUAACUGAAUACAUAGGUUAACGAGGCGAACCGGGGGAACUGAAACAUCUAAGUACCCCGAGGAAAAGAAAUCAACCGAGAUUCCCCCAGUAGCGGCGAGCGAACGGGGAGCAGCCCAGAGUCUGAAUCAGCUUGUGUGUUAGUGGAACGGUCUGGAAAGUCCGACGGUACAGGGUGAUAGUCCCGUACACCAAAAUGCACAGGCUGUGAACUCGAAGAGUAGGGCGGGACACGUGGUAUCCUGUCUGAAUAUGGGGGGACCAUCCUCCAAGGCUAAAUACUCCUGACUGACCGAUAGUGAACCAGUACCGUGAGGGAAAGGCGAAAAGAACCCCGGCGAGGGGAGUGAAAAAGAACCUGAAACCGUGUACGUACAAGCAGUGGGAGCACCUUCGGGUGUGACUGCGUACCUUUUGUAUAAUGGGUCAGCGACUUAUAUUCUGUAGCAAGGUUAACCGUAUAGGGGAGCCGCAGGGAAACCGAGUCUUAACUGGGCGUUAAGUUGCAGGGUAUAGACCCGAAACCCGGUGAUCUAGCCAUGGGCAGGUUGAAGGUUGGGUAACACUAACUGGAGGACCGAACCGACUAAUGUUGAAAAAUUAGCGGAUGACUUGUGGCUGGGGGGUGAAAGGCCAAUCAAACCGGGAGAUAGCUGGUUCUCCCCGAAAGCUAUUUAGGUAGCGCCUCGUGAACUCAUCUUCGGGGGUAGAGCACUGUUUCGGCUAGGGGGUCAUCCCGACUUACCAACCCGAUGCAAACUACGAAUACCGAAGAAUGUUAUCACGGGAGACACACGGCGGGUGCUAACGUCCGUCGUGAAGAGGGAAACAACCCAGACCGCCAGCUAAGGUCCCAAAGUCAUGGUUAAGUGGGAAACGAUGUGGGAAGGCACAGACAGCCAGGAUGUUGGCUUAGAAGCAGCCAUCAUUUAAAGAAAGCGUAAUAGCUCACUGGUCGAGUCGGCCUGCGCGGAAGAUGUAACGGGGCUAAACCAUGCACCGAAGCUGCGGCAGCGACACUAUGUGUUGUUGGGUAGGGGAGCGUUCUGUAAGCCUGCGAAGGUGUGCUGUGAGGCAUGCUGGAGGUAUCAGAAGUGCGAAUGCUGACAUAAGUAACGAUAAAGCGGGUGAAAAGCCCGCUCGCCGGAAGACCAAGGGUUCCUGUCCAACGUUAAUCGGGGCAGGGUGAGUCGACCCCUAAGGCGAGGCCGAAAGGCGUAGUCGAUGGGAAACAGGUUAAUAUUCCUGUACUUGGUGUUACUGCGAAGGGGGGACGGAGAAGGCUAUGUUAGCCGGGCGACGGUUGUCCCGGUUUAAGCAUGUAGGCUGAUUAUCCAGGCAAAUCCGGAUAAUCAAGGCUGAGGUGUGAUGACGAGGCACUACGGUGCUGAAGUAACAAAUGCCCUGCUUCCAGGAAAAGCCUCUAAGCAUCAGGUAACAUCAAAUCGUACCCCAAACCGACACAGGUGGUCAGGUAGAGAAUACCAAGGCGCUUGAGAGAACUCGGGUGAAGGAACUAGGCAAAAUGGUGCCGUAACUUCGGGAGAAGGCACGCUGGUGUGUAGGUGAAGUCCCUGCGGAUGGAGCUGAGACCAGUCGAAGAUACCAGCUGGCUGCAACUGUUUAUUAAAAACACAGCACUGUGCAAACACGAAAGUGGACGUAUACGGUGUGACGCCUGCCCGGUGCCGGAAGGUUAAUUGAUGGGGUUAUCCGUAAGGAGAAGCUCUUGAUCGAAGCCCCGGUAAACGGCGGCCGUAACUAUAACGGUCCUAAGGUAGCGAAAUUCCUUGUCGGGUAAGUUCCGACCUGCACGAAUGGCGUAAUGAUGGCCAGGCUGUCUCCACCCGAGACUCAGUGAAAUUGAACUCGCUGUGAAGAUGCAGUGUACCCGCGGCAAGACGGAAAGACCCCGUGAACCUUUACUAUAGCUUGACACUGAACAUUGAGCCUUGAUGUGUAGGAUAGGUGGGAGGCUUUGAAGCGUGGACGCCAGUCUGCGUGGAGCCAACCUUGAAAUACCACCCUUUAAUGUUUGAUGUUCUAACGUUGGCCCCUGACCGGGGUUGCGGACAGUGUCUGGUGGGUAGUUUGACUGGGGCGGUCUCCUCCCAAAGCGUAACGGAGGAGCACGAAGGUUAGCUAAUCCUGGUCGGACAUCAGGAGGUUAGUGCAAUGGCAUAAGCUAGCUUGACUGCGAGCGUGACGGCGCGAGCAGGUGCGAAAGCAGGUCAUAGUGAUCCGGUGGUUCUGAAUGGAAGGGCCAUCGCUCAACGGAUAAAAGGUACUCCGGGGAUAACAGGCUGAUACCGCCCAAGAGUUCAUAUCGACGGCGGUGUUUGGCACCUCGAUGUCGGCUCAUCACAUCCUGGGGCUGAAGUAGGUCCCAAGGGUAUGGCUGUUCGCCAUUUAAAGUGGUACGCGAGCUGGGUUUAGAACGUCGUGAGACAGUUCGGUCCCUAUCUGCCGUGGGCGCUGGAGAAUUGAGGGGGGCUGCUCCUAGUACGAGAGGACCGGAGUGGACGCAUCACUGGUGUUCGGGUUGUCAUGCCAAUGGCACUGCCCGGUAGCUAAAUGCGGAAGAGAUAAGUGCUGAAAGCAUCUAAGCACGAAACUUGCCCCGAGAUGAGUUCUCCCUGAGACUUUAAGUCUCCUGAAGGAACGUUGAAGACGACGACGUUGAUAGGCCGGGUGUGUAAGCGCAGCGAUGCGUUGAGCUAACCGGUACUAAUGAACCGUGAGGCUUAACCUU